rnacentral:rRNA from 1 species
AGGACGAACGCUGGCGGCGUGCCUAAUACAUGCAAGUCGAACGGCUUUUCUAUGGAAGCUUGCUUCCACUGAGAAGAUAGUGGCGAACGGGUGAGUAACACGUGGGUAACCCGCCCAUAAGAGGGGGAUAACAUCCGGAAACGGGUGCUAAUACCGCAUAGUUUUCUUGAUCGCAUGAUCGGGAAAGGAAAGACGGCCUUUGUGCUGUCGCUUAUGGAUGGACCCGCGGCGUAUUAGUUAGUUGGUGAGGUAACGGCUCACCAAGACGAUGAUACGUAGCCGACCUGAGAGGGUGAUCGGCCACAUUGGGACUGAGACACGGCCCAAACUCCUACGGGAGGCAGCAGUAGGGAAUCUUCCGCAAUGGACGAAAGUCUGACGGAGCAACGCCGCGUGAGUGAAGAAAGGUUUUCGGAUCGUAAAACUCUGUUGUCAGAGAAGAACAAGUUGGAGAGUAACUGCUCCAGCCUUGACGGUAUCUGACCAGAAAGCCACGGCUAACUACGUGCCAGCAGCGGC